rnacentral:rRNA from 1 species
AGUGAACGCUGGUGGUAGGCCUAACACAUGCAAGUCGAACGGCAGCACAGUAAGAGCUUGCUCUUACGGGUGGCGAGUGGCGGACGGGUGAGGAAUACAUCGGAAUCUACUUUUUCGUGGGGGAUAACGUAGGGAAACUUACGCUAAUACCGCAUACGACCUACGGGUGAAAGCAGGGGAUCUUCGGACCUUGCGCGAUUGAAUGAGCCGAUGUCGGAUUAGCUAGUUGGCGGGGUAAAGGCCCACCAAGGCGACGAUCCGUAGCUGGUCUGAGAGGAUGAUUAGCCACACUGGAACUGAGACACGGUCCAGACCCCUACGGGAGGCAGCAGUGGGGAAUAUUGGACAAUGGGCGCAAGCCUGAUCCAGCCAUACCGCGUGGGUGAAGAAGGCCUUCGGGUUGUAAAGCCCUUUUGUUGGGAAAGAAAAGCAGCAGGUUAAUACCCCGCUGUUCUGACGGUACCCAAAGAAUAAGCACCGGCUAACUUCGUG